CUGUGCCCUGACUGGGAACCAAGCCGUGACCUUCUCGCUCGUAGGUAGUUGUUCAACCACUGAGCCACCCCGGCCGGCAGGUCAAGACCAGUUUCUUUGUCAAGAAACGUUACCUGGGGGUGGACGUGGCUCUGGCUGACCUGCCGUCCUGACAGGCUGCGUGGGCCCCUCCCGGUGACUUACAGUUUCAGGAACUGACGUGCCCGUGAUUAAUCAGCCGGCCCCACGACUCUCAGGCAUUCUUGGCAGCGGAUUUCAGGUCUAAUUUGAUUUGAACUUGUGCGCGGAUCCAACAGCCAUAUGUGAUUAUAUUCAAAAUCAUGGACAUGAUCUCCUUACACCAAAGGACUCCUGCAAAAGAGCCGAAAAGCCAGCCGGAAGCAGAGACCCAGAAGCUGGGGAGGGAGCAGGCUGGUGUGUGACCUGAAGCAAAGGGAGGGGCAGCUUCAAGCUCAAGCGGGGGCCUGGGAGGGCGGCCGCUCGCGGGACCCGCAGGUGUCGCACGUCUGCAGGGUCCUGGCCUGGGCCCCGGGGACUCCCAGCAGCGGGUGGAGGCGCUUCCGUGAGGUUAGCUACCUGCCAGGCAGAUGGUGCUCAGAUCCAACAGCAAAUACACCAAAUAAAAGCAAUGAACACGCCGCCUCCUGAACCAGGAGUGUCUGGAAAGAGUUCCCGAUAGAUGAAAACAAACAAUUUGAUUUCAACCCAAUUGUUGUUUCUUUGUUUGCGCCCGGAUUUUCACCCGAAUUGUCAGUCUCAAAAAUAAACACUGAUACAUUCCCAGAAAAUAUUUUUCAAAUAAAAACUGACUCUGUUAAAGUUUGCCCUGAUUCUUUCAAAACUGUGUACGAGACACUGUCAACCGAAGUGACUUCCACGUUUUUUUAAAAACACACGCGAACAUAUGCAGCUCAAAUGUCACCCGCUCCCGCCGCCUGCGUGUUUGCAAAGAUGACAGAGACCCUCGCGCCGCGCUCCUCACACCAGGCCCGGGACCCACAGACUCCCCGGGACUCGCAGAGCCGGGCGCUUCUCCUUGUUGAGUUGGAGCCGAAGGCCCCGCGUCCUUGUUCUGGGAGAGCCCGUGGGCUCCCUCCGCGCCAGCCUCGCUCCGUUGUCGGCAUCCACUCUGCCCAGGAGCCAGCAGCCUCGGGAUGAGGCUGGUGGGAGGAGAGAAAGCGGAUCUCCUAUCGCUUCGGUCACCCAGCAUGCCACAAUCCGAUUGCUGACCUGGAUGAAACAGUGAAAUAAAUGAUUUACAAAGAAUAUUUACAUUCAUCGGAUUUGCACGUGACGUGCCACAACGCACCGUGACCUCCCGGCGGCCCGGCUCCGGCCGCAGGCUGCGUCGUCACAGUCACGCGUGUCUCCGCGUGGCCCCGGCUGAUGGACGGGCCGGAGCUGCCGCUGCCGGACGCGCCCUCCUGGCAUGGGUUUUGGGAAAUGGCUUCGAGUUACUGUACUUUGAAACCUGCUCGUUUGUCUGCUAUGUAUGUUACACACAUGAACUUCAAUAAACGGACUUCGGAAAGA